rnacentral:rRNA from 1 species
GACGAACGCUGGCGGCGUGCCUAAUACAUGCAAGUCGAGCGGACCAAAGGGAGCUUGCUCCUGGAGGUUAGCGGCGAACGGGUGAGUAACACGUGGGCAACCUGCCUGUAAGACUGGGAUAACAUCGAGAAAUCGGUGCUAAUACCGGAUAAUAAAAAGAACUGCAUGGUUCUUUUUUGAAAGAUGGUUUCGGCUAUCACUUACAGAUGGGCCCGCGGCGCAUUAGCUAGUUGGUGAGGUAACGGCUCACCAAGGCAACGAUGCGUAGCCGACCUGAGAGGGUGAUCGGCCACACUGGGACUGAGACACGGCCCAGACUCCUACGGGAGGCAGCAGUAGGGAAUCUUCCGCAAUGGACGAAAGUCUGACGGAGCAACGCCGCGUGAGUGAUGAAGGUUUCGGAUCGUAAAACUCUGUUGUUAGGGAAGAACAAGUGCCGUUCGAAAGGGCGGCACCUUGACGGUACCUAACGAGAAAGCCACGGCUAACUACGUGCCAGCAGCCGCGGUAA